rnacentral:rRNA from 1 species
UACGUAGGGUGCAAGCGUUAAUCGGAAUUACUGGGCGUAAAGCGUGCGCAGGCGGUUGUGCAAGACCGAUGUGAAAUCCCCGGGCUCAACCUGGGAAUGGCAUUGGUGACUGUACGGCUAGAGUGUGUCAGAGGGGGGUAGAAUUCCACGUGUAGCAGUGAAAUGCGUAGAGAUGUGGAGGAAUACCGAUGGCGAAGGCAGCCCCCUGGGAUAACACUGACGCCUCAUGCACGAAAGCGUGGGGAGCAAACAGG